GAUGAACGCUGGCGGCGUGCCUAAUACAUGCAAGUCGAGCGAACGGACGAGAAGCUUGCUUCUCUGAUGUUAGCGGCGGACGGGUGAGUAACACGUGGAUAACCUACCUAUAAGACUGGGAUAACUUCGGGAAACCGGAGCUAAUACCGGAUAAUAUUUUGAACCGCAUGGUUCAAAAGUGAAAGACGGUCUUGCUGUCACUUAUAGAUGGAUCCGCGCUGCAUUAGCUAGUUGGUAAGGUAACGGCUUACCAAGGCAACGAUGCAUAGCCGACCUGAGAGGGUGAUCGGCCACACUGGAACUGAGACACGGUCCAGACUCCUACGGGAGGCAGCAGUAGGGAAUCUUCCGCAAUGGGCGAAAGCCUGACGGAGCAACGCCGCGUGAGUGAUGAAGGUCUUCGGAUCGUAAAACUCUGUUAUUAGGGAAGAACAUAUGUGUAAGUAACUGUGCACAUCUUGACGGUACCUAAUCAGAAAGCCACGGCUAACUACGUGCCAGCAGCCGCGGUAAUACGUAGGUGGCAAGCGUUAUCCGGAAUUAUUGGGCGUAAAGCGCGCGUAGGCGGUUUUUUAAGUCUGAUGUGAAAGCCCACGGCUCAACCGUGGAGGGUCAUUGGAAACUGGAAAACUUGAGUGCAGAAGAGGAAAGUGGAAUUCCAUGUGUAGCGGUGAAAUGCGCAGAGAUAUGGAGGAACACCAGUGGCGAAGGCGACUUUCUGGUCUGUAACUGACGCUGAUGUGCGAAAGCGUGGGGAUCAAACAGGAUUAGAUACCCUGGUAGUCCACGCCGUAAACGAUGAGUGCUAAGUGUUAGGGGGUUUCCGCCCCUUAGUGCUGCAGCUAACGCAUUAAGCACUCCGCCUGGGGAGUACGACCGCAAGGUUGAAACUCAAAGGAAUUGACGGGGACCCGCACAAGCGGUGGAGCAUGUGGUUUAAUUCGAAGCAACGCGAAGAACCUUACCAAAUCUUGACAUCCUUUGACAACUCUAGAGAUAGAGCUUUCCCCUUCGGGGGACAAAGUGACAGGUGGUGCAUGGUUGUCGUCAGCUCGUGUCGUGAGAUGUUGGGUUAAGUCCCGCAACGAGCGCAACCCUUAAGCUUAGUUGCCAUCAUUAAGUUGGGCACUCUAAGUUGACUGCCGGUGACAAACUGGAGGAAGGUGGGGAUGACGUCAAAUCAUCAUGCCCCUUAUGAUUUGGGCUACACACGUGCUACAAUGGGCAAUACAAAGGGCAGCGAAACCGCGAGGUCAAGCAAAUCCCAUAAAGUUGUUCUCAGUUCGGAUUGUAGUCUGCAACUCGACUACAUGAAGCUGGAAUCGCUAGUAAUCGUAGAUCAGCAUGCUACGGUGAAUACGUUCCCGGGUCU
rnacentral:rRNA from 1 species